rnacentral:rRNA from 1 species
UGCAGAGGUGGCAAGCGUUGUUCGGAAUUACUGGGCGUAAAGGGCGCGUAGGUGGCCUUCUUAGUCAGACGUGAAAUCCCCAGGCUUAACCUGGGAACUGCGUCUGAUACUGGAAGGCUUGAGUUCGGGAGAGGAAUGUGGAAUUCCAGGUGUAGCGGUGAAAUGCGUAGAUAUCUGGAGGAACACCGGUGGCGAAGGCGGCAUUCUGGACCGAAACUGACGCUGAGGCGCGAAAGCCAGGGGAGCAAACGGG